rnacentral:rRNA from 1 species
AGUGAACGCUGGCGGUAGGCCUAACACAUGCAAGUCGAACGGCAGCACAGUAAGAGCUUGCUCUUACGGGUGGCGAGUGGCGGACGGGUGAGGAAUACAUCGGAAUCUACUUUUUCGUGGGGGAUAACGUAGGGAAACUUACGCUAAUACCGCAUACGACCUACGGGUGAAAGCAGGGGAUCUUCGGACCUUGCGCGAUUGAAUGAGCCGAUGUCGGAUUAGCUAGUUGGCGGGGUAAAGGCCCACCAAGGCGACGAUCCGUAGCUGGUCUGAGAGGAUGAUCAGCCAGACUGGAACUGAGACACGGUCCAGACUCCUACGGGAGGCAGCAGUGGGGAAUAUUGGACAAUGGGCGCAAGCCUGAUCCAGCCAUACCGCGUGGGUGAAGAAGGCCUUCGGGUUGUAAAGCCCUUUUGUUGAGAAAGAAAAGCAGCAGGUUAAUACCCCGCUGUUCUGACGGUACCCAAAGAAUAAGCACCGGCUAACUUCGUG